GUGGGGAAUAUUGGACAAUGGGCGAAAGCCUGAUCCAGCCAUGCCGCGUGUGUGAAGAAGGUCUUCGGAUUGUAAAGCACUUUAAGUUGGGAGGAAGGGCAGUAAGUUAAUACCUUGCUGUUUUGACGUUACCAACAGAAUAAGCACCGGCUAACUUCGUGCCAGCAGCCGCGGUAAUACGAAGGGUGCAAGCGUUAAUCGGAAUUACUGGGCGUAAAGCGCGCGUAGGUGGUUUUGUAAGUUGGAGGUGAAAUCCCCGGGCUCAACCGGGGAACUGCCUCCAAAACUGCAUGACUAGAGUACGGUAGAGGGUAGUGGAAUUUCCUGUGUAGCGGUGAAAUGCGUAGAUAUAGGAAGGAACACCAGUGGCGAAGGCGACUACCUGGACUGAUACUGACACUGAGGUGCGAAAGCGUGGGGAGCAAACAGGAUUAGAAACCCGUGUAGUCC
rnacentral:rRNA from 1 species